rnacentral:rRNA from 1 species
GCUGGAGGUAUCAGAAGUGCGAAUGCUGACAUAAGUAACGAUAAAGCGGGUGAAAAGCCCGCUCGCCGGAAGACCAAGGGUUCCUGUCCAACGUUAAUCGGGGCAGGGUGAGUCGACCCCUAAGGCGAGGCCGAAAGGCGUAGUCGAUGGGAAACAGGUUAAUAUUCCUGUACUUGGUGUUACUGCGAAGGGGGGACGGAGAAGGCUAUGUUGGCCGGGCGACGGUUGUCCCGGUUUAAGCGUGUAGGCUGGUUUUCCAGGCAAAUCCGGAAAAUCAAGGCUGAGGCGUGAUGACGAGGCACUACGGUGCUGAAGCAACAAAUGCCCUGCUUCCAGGAAAAGCCUCUAAGCAUCAGGUAACAUCAAAUCGUACCCCAAACCGACACAGGUGGUCAGGUAGAGAAUACCAAGGCGCUUGAGAGAACUCGGGUGAAGGAACUAGGCAAAAUGGUGCCGUAACUUCGGGAGAAGGCACGCUGAUAUGUAGGUGAAGUCCCUCGCGGAUGGAGCUGAAAUCAGUCGAAGAUACCAGCUGGCUGCAACUGUUUAUUAAAAACACAGCACUGUGCAAACACGAAAGUGGACGUAUACGGUGUGACGCCUGCCCGGUGCCGGAAGGUUAAUUGAUGGGGUCAGCGCAAGCGAAGCUCUUGAUCGAAGCCCCGGUAAACGGCGGCCGUAACUAUAACGGUCCUAAGGUAGCGAAAUUCCUUGUCGGGUAAGUUCCGACCUGCACGAAUGGCGUAAUGAUGGCCAGGCUGUCUCCACCCGAGACUCAGUGAAAUUGAACUCGCUGUGAAGAUGCAGUGUACCCGCGGCAAGACGGAAAGACCCCGUGAACCUUUACUAUAGCUUGACACUGAACAUUGAGCCUUGAUGUGUAGGAUAGGUGGGAGGCUUAGAAGUGUGGACGCCAGUCUGCAUGGAGCCGACCUUGAAAUACCACCCUUUAAUGUUUGAUGUUCUAACGUUGACCCGUAAUCCGGGUUGCGGACAGUGUCUGGUGGGUAGUUUGACUGGGGCGGUCUCCUCCUAAAGAGUAACGGAGGAGCACGAAGGUUGGCUAAUCCUGGUCGGACAUCAGGAGGUUAGUGCAAUGGCAUAAGCCAGCUUGACUGCGAGCGUGACGGCGCGAGCAGGUGCGAAAGCAGGUCAUAGUGAUCCGGUGGUUCUGAAUGGAAGGGCCAUCGCUCAACGGAUAAAAGGUACUCCGGGGAUAACAGGCUGAUACCGCCCAAGAGUUCAUAUCGACGGCGGUGUUUGGCACCUCGAUGUCGGCUCAUCACAUCCUGGGGCUGAAGUAGGUCCCAAGGGUAUGGCUGUUCGCCAUUUAAAGUGGUACGCGAGCUGGGUUUAGAACGUCGUGAGACAGUUCGGUCCCUAUCUGCCGUGGGCGCUGGAGAACUGAGGGGGGCUGCUCCUAGUACGAGAGGACCGGAGUGGACGCAUCACUGGUGUUCGGGUUGUCAUGCCAAUGGCACUGCCCGGUAGCUAAAUGCGGAAGAGAUAAGUGCUGAAAGCAUCUAAGCACGAAACUUGCC